UCUCCUCGUGCCGCAUUACAAAAGAGACACGCCAAUGGGUGGAAUAGGGAGAGACCUGUUAGCUCAUUCCUCCUCUCGCAGUUUCCCACGCCUCCUCGGGGCAUAAUGAAAGUAGGCUACUCGAGUGCAGUAGAAAACCAUCCGCAUUGGCAGGCACAUUUUUUUUCAACUUCACACGGUCUUUGGGGGAUACCUCAGACUGAGGCUGCAGUAUUGAAUAGCCUAUAACCGAAUGCAGUGCCUGUGCAUCACCACCAGAGGACCCCCCCCCAUGCCUUCUAAGUGUUGGUGCAAUUUACUUUCUUGAGCCGCAGUUUUCUUUCUUUUCUUCCAAUCCUACUCCACACACCUCAAAAGUGCGCGUCUUCCCAUUUUCUGUCCGCUGACCUGAAAACCUGCAUCGGGGCGCAAGAGAGACUCAGCAGACAAAGACCCUGCAUAUCCAGACUGCAGUCAUGGCAACUGAAGGAGAAUCGAUGUUUCAUGAUCAAAGUGACUUUGAAUAUGCUCUAAUCCAGCAGGCACCCAAAUACCAAAGACAGAGGUGCCUCCUCAAACAGUAUAGAUGAAGUGUGCAUGGAGGCGAGGGAGAGUCAUCAUGGGAGGUGCUGCAGAGAGGCCAACACACAUAAUAACGCACACUCUCACAUAUAUGGUUGCCACACACCAGCACCCAUUGGAACAUCAAGUAUGGUGCACACCCAGCCCAUGCUGACCAGAAGAAUGACGGAAUUGUCAUUCUUGAUUUAAAUAAAAUGUGUAUCAAGCCAAGAUGAAGAUGUUACUCUUAACCGUCUUUGUGACUUGUGUAUUAGGUGCUAUCAAUCUUCCUUGCCCGGGAGAGAAUGUAAUGUAGCCUUCAGUGCUGAUUUGGGGUUUAUCCUUACCCCAAUCGGCACCAAAAGCACCUAAAAGCAAAAAAACAUACCUGGCGCAAGAUCAGCUUUCAGGUGCACUGUAAAUCUAUAUCAUGAUAUGGGUAGUGUUGAAACAGAACUGAAUGCUAUGCUCUCUCUGUUCCUUGUUUUUGACUUCAUGCACACCCAAGAAAGUUGAUUGCAUGUCUCAUUUUACUGUAUAGUAAUCUCAAUGCACUUUAGAAAUCUACAACUUUAUCAUCCAGUUGUGAGAGAGGUCUUUUACAUUUAGGAUUUCACAUUGGACCUGUAUCAAUAACCUCAAGCAUGAAUUAAGAUAUCAACCCAACCCCAUUAUCCCACUGUUCUACUGAUGGUUGGCUCAGGAUCUAUCUGCUGUCAUUUUUGAUGGCAUUAAGUGGACUGCCGUGUGUGGUUGUGUUCUAGGUAGCAAUGAGAAGGAUUUCAAACCCAUGUCAGAUGUUAAUUUGAAACAGAAGCAGGAAUGAAGUCUCCUGUCAUUCUCUGGGGUCUGUAAGAGGGAGCCACCAGUAUAGUAUUGUAUGUCAACAGCCUUUUUCUUUAUCCUAUUGCAUUUUAAGUUACAUUGCACGAGUAGAAUCAUUCAAAGCACUAAAAAGGUAUUACCUUGGGUGUGAAGAAGCGGGCAUUUUAAAAGUGUAUGAGUUUAAGCUUCAUGAAAAGAUCAAUACAUUAAGAUAAGAAGUCACAGUAACUAGCUGCAAAUAAAAUGUCUGUAUUAUCAUUAUUUAGAGCUGUAUCUAACUUGCUGCAAGUACAAUGUCUGUUAUCUUCAGAUAUUUUUAUUUACCGGUAUGCAGCACUAGUAAUGCCUGAUACUGAGCCAAUGGCGUAACAGUUAACCAAAAGCAAAUGAGUGAUUCUCACCAGAGCUAACCAAUAAGACAGCUGCUGCAAUAAAAAUCACCCUGUAUACAAUGGUCUUAUUGAUGUAUUAUUUACAGUUAUUUCCCAUAUAUUUUAAUCUGAACCUUUAUCAAUACAUACAUGUGGAUUAAAAUAGAGUAUAAAAUAGAUGACAAAUAGAGAUAUUUGAAGAACAGAUUUAAUUCCAGGGUUAAGUUCAGUAAAUCAGGCAAUUCAGUUAAUCAGAAGGAUACAUUCAGUGAAAAGUAACAGGAGUAUUACACUGUUACAAACUGUCAAAGUAGACCCAAGCAGCCAAAAUAACCAGAUUCUCUCGUACCAUUUUUGAACUAUAACAUUAGUUAUUCUCCCUCACGUUAACUCACCUAUGAUUUAGACCUAGGAACACAUAAAGACAUCUCUGUAUGUUCCUUGACUAAGACUGCCCAGGUUCCAAAACUAGGGGAAAUCACAGUCAAAUCUGGGGAAAUGUUGUGUCAUAUCUCCAAUGAGAUGUUUUAUUUUGUUGUAUUUUCUAUGCCACUUACAAUUAUGAAGUGGUAUAUUCACUACAGCAAUAUUUCAAAGGGCACAUGCAUGCUAUCUCAUUGGAUAAAAGGUAUAUGUGUAAGUGAUGCAUGUUUUCUUGUCACCAUAAAACAUGUUGUGGUAUUUUCAA